rnacentral:rRNA from 1 species
ACGAGCGGCGAACGGGUGAGUAAUGCUUUGGAAUCUUCCCAGUAGUGGGGAAGUAACCAGUCGAAAGAUUGGCUAAUACCGCAUACGUCUGUAAAGGGAAAGCGGGGCUCGUAAGACCUCGCGCUAUUGGAUGAGCCAAAGUCGGAUUAGCUUGUUGGUGGGGUAAUGGCCUACCAAGGCGACAAUCCGUAGCUGGUCUGAGAGGACGACCAGCCACACCGGAACUGAGACACGGUCCGG